rnacentral:lncRNA from 1 species
CAGCAUCCUGAGCACUCCUGGGCUCCAUCACUGUGCUUGUCUGUAGUUGGUGAGGCAGUGGUGGGUAGAGUCAGAGCUGGUUUAGGAGGUCUGGGAUCCUGGGACGGGUUCCAAGUCAAGAAGAGGAUUCUUGUGUCACUGUUACUAUGACAAUGGCCCUUCCCAGGAGGUGAUGAGCAAGUCCACCUUUGACGCUGCUGUCACCCCACCUGCAUUUCCCUGAACGUUUCUCGUGACCAGCUGACGUCAGGAGACUCCGGGACUGUGCGUAACACAGCUGAUUCAUCUCCCCUGGCAGCGGGCAUCUUGACCUGCCCCUGAGGCUUUGCUUUGUCUUCUGUAGGUCAAGGCGUUGGUUUUAUUUUUUAAUAAAUAAAGUGGAACCUGACUCAUGA